AUUUCGUCCCUUGCGAUUCUCUUCCCCACAACUCUUCCGCUUCGUUUCUCCAAUCUCUGAGUUUGAGUUUUGCGUAACCUUUAAACUCUUAUUGGACGAUUAGAGCUGAAGUGAGUUAGAUUUCGCGACUCCAGACCUGAUGGCGACUUUGUCUGCGCGGCUGACCUUCCAUCUUCUUCCCCUGGCGAAUCAUGUAACCGAUUCAUCACCUUAAAGUCCUCAAUUAAUCGAGCAGGCACGAUCUAGAUUCAAUGCGACCUUUAAGGUUUCAGAGACGGUGGAGUUCGACUAUAAAUAGGCUGGCCACUCCUCUUCCACCGUCGAAGUUCGCUUACUCCGAUUUUGGGAGGCCUGAAACGUCCGACGUGGUGGAGAGCUCAUGGGCAUCGACAUGCUUUUAAUCGACUCUCAGGUUUUGUAACUCUUAUUAUUUUUAUGAUUUGUUUAUUGUUUAUAAAGAUUUGAAGUUCAUGUGUAUUCAUCAUCUCUGUUAAUUCUCUGUUGCCUUGAAUUUUAAUUCUGUUAAAUGUAAUACUAUUUAAUCCUGUUUGAUGCUGUUUUUUAUAUUCAGUCGACCAUGAUGCCGGCGACUGUGAAUGUCAACCGUCUUGCGACGCACCAGCCUAACCUGGAAGCGGGAUCGGUCUACUCUUUAGCUCCACGAACUCCAGUUACCUGCAGCGCGAAACAGAGAGGGUUCGUCCUCAAGAAGAUAGAAUCAUUGAUGGUGUGAGAACUGAAUUCUUAUGUGCUCAACUUCCACCGCAGGACUACUAUCAAGCUUUCAGAUUAAACCCACUUAAUCUAAAUGGCUGAGGCAAAGAGCUUUGUCCAUUUUCAGGGCAUAAGAUAUGAUGUCAUUGGGAGACUUAAAUCCUACAAGCAUGAUUGGAGCAGUGGUUUCAGAUCUGGAUUAAGGGUGUUCAGGAAGGAGAAGAUAAAUUGAGUUAUAUUUAGUUAUGUAGAGCAUCAUGUUUCACAGUGCCUUGAACAAGACAUGAACCAAGAUCGCUUGGUCUCAUGGAGCCAACAUAGCGAAACUGAUAAAGAGGAAAGAAGGCUGAUCAUCAGCAGGACACAAGGAUCGAUGACAAUAUGGCGACGCUGGAGACUUUCACCCUACAGACGUCCUUAUACCAGUUGGUUUGAUGAUUCUGAGAAGUUAGGGACUCUUGAUCUUUGCAUUCCAGCGCAGAAAGAUACCCAGAUUUAGUGCUAUAAUCUCCUGAUGGAAUUUUAAGCCACACCAGUCUGUCCGGAGCCCCGACCAAGCUUGGUUUGAUGAGUCUGAUACUCUGUUACUCUGUUGGCAAUACUCUUCAAUCGAAGCAAACUCAACAUAGGCAAAUUCACAGAAACGGCCAUCGCGUCCUAUAGCCAUUGUAACAUUAACAACUUGGCCAGCUUAUUUGAAGAAGCUUCUCGCUGGAGGAAAACAAUAGUAAAAUCAAUGGAAAAUUUUUAAAAAAAUAACCAAAGGUGUGUGUGUGUGUGUGUGUUUUUUUUAUAACCAAAGGUGUGUUACAGUUGUAUAUCUAAUCUUUGACAAUUGGUAUACGAGAUUCCAACGUUUCAAGUGUGGUUCCAA